AUGAAUCCUAGGGAUGAUAUCUCUGGAAAUCGGAUCAGCAACCUAAAUUGCUUGUCUUGGAAUUGUCGCGGAGGGGGGAACGCCAUUACUAUUCGUGAUCUGGAAGGCCUGAUAAAGGCUAAUGAUUCCCAGAUUGUUUUCCUCUGUGAGACGCGGCAAAGAGAAGAAAGGAUGCGACGGCACUGUCGAAGGUUAGGCCUACGUGGCUUUACCGGAGUAAGUAGCAAUGGAAAUAGUGGAGGACUUGCACUAUACUGGGAUGAUAGUUUGUUCGUUGAAGUCCAGGAUACUAGUGAUAGAUAUAUUGAUGUCCAUGUGAGGGUGUCUCCGGAGGAUCCCUUGUGGCGGCUGACUUGCAUUUAUGGAGAACCGAGAGCUGAGAAUAGACACCAUAUGUGGAGCAAGCUGCAGGAGUUAAAACAAAAAUCAAACUUACCUUGGUUGAUAGUUGGAGACUUUAAUGAAGCCCUAUGGCAGUUCGAGCAUCUCUCGUCUACUCCUCGCCCAGAGAAUCAGAUGGCUGCUUUCAGAGAGGCACUUGCUGUUUGUGAGCUGAGGGAUAUUGGCUUCUCUGGCUUGCCAUUCACCUUUGACAAUAAGCAGAGAGGGUAG
rnacentral:rRNA from 1 species